ACUGGACGUGUCACAGCCGAUGUACUAGCUUGGGAGGAGUUGUUGAAGGGCAAACUAGAAUUUGGAAAGUGGAGGACCAAACUUUGUUCUCGUUAUGAUGAUUUGGAGGCUAUUUUUGGAAAUGAUUCUGCUACAGGAGAUCGUGCUGUAACCGACAAUGACAUUUUAUCCCCCGAUCAUGAUGAAACUGUGCAUGAAGUUGAUGGUCAAAAUGAGGAUACGGAUCCAAGCCCCAUUCGCGCUCCUAAGCGUAAUGCCGAAGGAGAAACAAACAAAGUUCGCCG